rnacentral:rRNA from 1 species
UACGGGGGGGGCAAGCGUUGUUCGGAUUUACUGGGCGUAAAGGGCGCGUAGGCGGUCAGCACAAGUCAGUUGUGAAAUCUCCGGGCUUAACUCAGAAAGGUCAACUGAUACUGUGCGACUAGAGUGCAGAAGGGGCAACUGGAAUUCUCGGUGUAGCGGUGAAAUGCGUAGAGAUGUGGAGGAACACCGAUGGCGAAGGCAGCCCCCUGGGUCAAGAUUGACGCUCAUGCACGAAAGCGUGGGGAGCAAACAGG